rnacentral:rRNA from 1 species
CAAUAGCGUAUAUUAAAGUUGUUGCAGUUAAAAAGCUCGUAGUUGGAUUUGUGGCGUACGGUGUGUUCCGGGCACUUGUUGUCUGAGUAACCUGCUGUUGCCAUCCUUGGGUGGAACCUGUGUGGCAUUAGGUUGUCGUGCAGGGGAUGCCCAUCAUUUACUGUGAAAAAAUUAGAGUGUUCAAAGCAGGCUUAUGCCGUUGAAUAUAUUAGCAUGGAAUAAUGAGAUAGGACUUUUUUGCUAUUUUGUUGGUUUGCGCGAAGAGGUAAUGAUUAAUAGGGACAGUUGGGGGUAUUCGUAUUCCAUUGUCAGAGGUGAAAUUCUUGGAUUUUUGGAAGACGAACUACUGCGAAAGCAUUUGCCAAGGAUGUUUUCAUUAA